AACGCGAAGAACCUUACCUGGGCUCGAAAUGUAGUGGAAUCGGGUGGAAACAUCCGCGUCUCGCAAGAGACUGCUAUAUAGGUGCUGCAUGGCUGUCGUCAGCUCGUGUCGUGAGAUGUUGGGUUAAGUCCCGCAACGAGCGCAACCCUUAUCCCUAGUUGCCAUCGGGUCAAGCCGGGCACUCUAGUGAAACCGCUCAGGAUAACUGGGAGGAAGGUGGGGAUGACGUCAAGUCCUCAUGGCCUUUAUGUCCAGGGCUACACACGUGCUACAAUGGUCGGUACAAACCGUCGCAAACCCGUGAGGGGGAGCUAAUCGGAAAAAGCCGGCCUCAGUUCGGAUUGGAGUCUGCAACCCGACUCCAUGAAGCUGGAAUCGCUAGUAAUCGCGGAUCAGAACGCCGCGGUGAAUACGUUCCCGGGCCUUGUACACACCGCUCGUC
rnacentral:rRNA from 1 species